GAUGAAGAACGUAGCGAAAUGCGAUAAGUAAUGUGAAUUGCAGAAUUCAGUGAAUCAUCGAAUCUUUGAACGCACAUUGCGCCCGCCAGUAUUCUGGCGGGCAUGCCUGUUCGAGCGUCAUUUCAACCAUCAAGCCCUGCUUGCGUUGGGGUCCUGCGGCUGCCCGCAGGCCCUGAAAACCAGUGGCGGGCUCGCUAGUCACACCGAGCGCAGUAAUACAUCUCGCUUUGGGCGUGUGGCGGGUUCUUGCCGUUAAACACCCCCUUUUUACCAAGGUUGACCUCGGAUCAGGUAGGAAUACCCGCUGAACUUAAGCAUAUCAAUAAGCGGAGGA
rnacentral:misc_RNA from 1 species